CGAAGUUGGGCGUGUUUAUAUAUUAGUUGGAAACCGAGGUAAUUAAUAGGCAAUAGACUGCUUUGUCCUCUACGAAUUUCCUCCGUGUAGCCUACCAGAAAGGACGACUUUCAGCUGAGACACGUUUAAAAAAGCCUCCUAUACAAAUCAGCUGUCCGCUCCUUACAGCAUGAAGAAUCCAGGAACUCUCACAGCCGAGAAACGUAGGCCUAAAUCUCCCAACAGGAACGAAGUCCAAUAUAACGGCCUGAGAAAUCAAGGUGCCACCUGCUACUUAAAUGCAGUAUUGCAAUGUCUAUUCAUGACCCCAAAAUUCAGAGAAGCAGUGGUGAGGUAUGAAGCCCCUGGAGAUUGUGGUGAGGAAAAUCUCUUGCUACAACUUAAGAAUCUGUUUGAACAGCUGUCAGAAAAAACAGCCACAACUGAAGGAAUAACCAAGAGUC
ensembl:lncRNA